rnacentral:rRNA from 1 species
GUGGGGAAUAUUGGACAAUGGGGGCAACCCUGAUCCAGCAAUGCCGCGUGUGUGAAGAAGGUCUUCGGAUCGUAAAGCACUCUCGACGGGGACGAUGAUGACGGUACCCGUAGAAGAAGCCCCGGCUAACUUCGUGCCAGCAGCCGCGGUAAUACGAAGGGGGCUAGCGUUGCUCGGAAUUACUGGGCGUAAAGGGCGCGUAGGCGGCUCUGUUAGUCAGGCGUGAAAUUCCUGGGCUUAACCUGGGGACUGCGCUUGAUACUGCGGAGCUUGAGGCCGAGAGAGGGUGGUGGAAUUCCCAGUGUAGAGGUGAAAUUCGUAGAUAUUGGGAAGAACACCGGUGGCGAAGGCGACCACCUGGCUCGGUACUGACGCUGAGGCACGAAAGCGUGGGGAGCAAACAGGAUUAGAUACCCGUGUAGUCC